UACGUAGGGACCGAGCGUUGUCCGGAUUCAUUGGGCGUAAAGAGCUCGUAGGCGGCUGCUCAAGUCGAAUGUGAAAACUCGAGGCUCAACCUCGAGCCUGCAUUCGAUACUGGGCGGCUAGAGUCUGGUAGGGGGAUCUGGAAUUCCUGGGUGUAGCGGUGGAAUGCGCAGAUAUCAGGAGGAACACCGGUGGCGAAGGCGGGAUCCUGGGCCGAUACUGACGCUGAGGAGCGAAAGCGUGGGGAGCGAACAGGA
rnacentral:rRNA from 1 species